UAGGGAAUCUUCGGCAAUGGACGGAAGUCUGACCGAACAACGCCGCGUGAGUGAAGAAGGUUUUCGGAUCGUAAAGCUCUGCUGUAAGAGAAGAACGAGUGUGAGAGUGGAAAGUUCACACUGUGACGGUAUCUUACCAGAAAGGGACGGCUAACUACGUGCCAGCAGCCGCGGUAAUACGUAGGUCCCGAGCGUUGUCCGGAUUUAUUGGGCGUAAAGCGAGCGCAGGCGGUUAGAUAAGUCUGAAGCUAAAGGCUGUGGCUUAACCAUAGUACGCUUUGGAAACUGUUUAACUUGAGUGCAAGAGGGGAGAGUGGAAUUCCAUGUGUAGCGGUGAAAUGCGUAGAUAUAUGGAGGAACACCGGUGGCGAAAGCGGCUCUCUGGCUUGUAACUGACGCUGAGGCUCGAAAGCGUGGGGAGCAAACAGGAUUAGAUACCCUGGUAGUCCACGCCGUAAACGAUGAGUGCUAGGUGUUAGACCCUUUCCGGGGUUUAGUGCCGCAGCUAACGCAUUAAGCACUCCGCCUGGGGAGUACGACCGCAAGGUUG
rnacentral:rRNA from 1 species